rnacentral:rRNA from 1 species
GCUUACGGCCACACCGCCUGGUUCACGCCCGAUCUCGUUUGAUCUCGGAAGCUAAGGUAGGUUGGGCCUGGUUAGUACUUGGAUGGGAGACCGCCUGGGAAUACCAGGUGCUGUAACUU